rnacentral:rRNA from 1 species
GACAGAGGGUGCAAGCGUUGUUCGGAAUUACUGGGCGUAAAGCGUGUGUAGGCGGCCACGUAAGUCGGAUGUGAAAGCCCCAGGCUCAACCUGGGAAGUGCACUCGAUACUGCGUGGCUUGAGUAUCGGAGAGGUUGGUGGAAUUCUCGGUGUAGAGGUGAAAUUCGUAGAUAUCGAGAGGAACACCGGUGGCGAAGGCGGCCGACUGGACGAAUACUGACGCUGAGACACGAAAGCGUGGGGAGCAAACAGG